CCGUGGCCCUUUGUUUUGUGCCACACCAAGAAGUAGAGAAAGAAGAGAGGACAACAUGUGCCACUGAAGGUAGCCGCGCGCAGAGCACGCGCACAUACACAGCUCUCGGAACGCAACGUUCCAGACGUCGCAGCAGGGACCAGACAGGGAAACGAGCAUGAAGAGCUUCAAGGCCAUCAUCCUGGUAGCUGUGUUGGUUUUGGCUGCACUCCAGAGCGAGUCAGUUUCAGCCCACUGGACCGGUUGCCAGUAUUUCAACUGCACCCUCAGAACCCCUGUACGUCCACGCGACCUGGUUAGUUUCCUGGAGGCAUAUACAAUUGGAAGCUGGCAUGAUUGCUUCAACUGCACAUUCUACAAGAACGUGUAUGACUCUCAGCUCGCUCAGCUGUACUCAGUCUGAAAAUACGAGCACCAGAGCUUUUUUAAAUAAAUUCUUUUUUGUGCAACUUG